GUUCCCCCUUCGCGACGGGCAGCAGUGCAAGGCCGUUGCGUCGUUUCCCACUACUGUAUGGUGCAAAGUGGGAUAUCCACCCAUUUGGCAACAGUGUAUUUUAUUCACCUAGGACUAAAUCUCAUCAUUAAUCCAAGACUGGACAGAUGCAUCGAAUUAAAGACACUGAGGAAUCCCCAAAAACGCAAACCAUUUAGAAAAUUAAACUUUCCUGUUAUGUCUAUCCCAGUGGUAAUAACAAGAUUCUGAGAUAUAGGAAAUAGACAUUCCCAACAGUUUAUAUCCCAUCUUUCAAUUACUUGACUCUCAAGGUGACUUGCAAAUACAUUGUAACAACACAUGCACACCCAACAAAUGUUCACCAAAUGUGAACAUACAGUCCAAAAGCCUUCAACACCUCUGGCUGACAGAUGGGACCAGAAAUUUCUCUUUGGUUCUGCAGGCAUGGGGCAACUGGCUGUCUGGGUGCCUUUUUCAGUGUGGGAGGAUCUACAGCUGCUCUGCCUCUUACUAUGAUGUUUUUCUUUAGAAGUAGGUUGUGCUCUUGAUUCCACAGUUAGCAGCAGCAUUAAAAAUAUAUCAGUUUUUCUGCUUCUUAGGUGCAUGAGGGCAGAGGUGGAUAAAUAACU